rnacentral:lncRNA from 1 species
GAGAUGCAUGGGUGUGACACUGUGGCCUGGUAGGACUCAGGCGGGCACUCAGCACUGCGCAGGCGCUGCGGGAGAACUCCCCCGAGCAGUGGGGUCUGCCGGGUGCCUGUGCCCUACAUUAAACCCGGCGUUUGUUUCACAGCCCAUGGAUUGUGCUUCUGAGGGGGUGGUCUGGGCUUGAGCCUGGCCCCAGGGAAUGGGGCGCUGGGCCGCCCCGAUGAGUGGAGCUUGAGGCCUGAGUGCCGCUUCGUCCAGGCCAGGCCCAGGUCCUGCGGUCCCGGGCCCUUCUCUGAAAAGGGGCAUCCCCAGCCCGGAGCGUGAUGGACCAAUGCGAGGGCCUGAGCCCGAGGGUGCGUGAUCACAGGUCAGGACGUUUCACAGCAGCGCGCCCAGGCUCCUGUGCGUGCUCUGGUGCACUGGAGUCUGGGGCUGGCUGGGCUUCUGGCUGUCCUCUGUCGCCGGAUGGGCUCGACGAAUCAGCGCAGCGAGGCCGGCCCCUUACGUGGUGCUGAUCCCACUC